rnacentral:rRNA from 1 species
GAUGAACGCUGGCGGCGUGCUUAACACAUGCAAGUCGAACGAAGCACUUUAUUUGAUUUCCUUCGGGACUGAUUAUUUUGUGACUGAGUGGCGGACGGGUGAGUAACGCGUGGGUAACCUGCCUUGUACAGGGGGAUAACAGUUGGAAACGGCUGCUAAUACCGCAUAAGCGCCCAGCAUCGCAUGAUGCAGUGUGAAAAACUCCGGUGGUAUAAGAUGGACCCGCGUUGGAUUAGCUAGUGGGUGAGGUAACGGCCCACCAAGGCGACGAUCCAUAGCCGACCUGAGAGGGUGACCGGCCACAUUGGGACUGAGACACGGCCCAAACUCCUACGGGAGGCAGCAGUGGGGAAUAUUGCACAAUGGGCGAAAGCCUGAUGCAGCGACGCCGCGUGAGCGAAGAAGUAUUUCGGUAUGUAAAGCUCUAUCAGCCGGGAAGAUAAUGACGGUACCUGACUAAGAAGCACCGGCUAAAUACGUG